GACGAACGCUGGCGGCGUGCUUAACACAUGCAAGUCGAGCGGUAAGGCCCUUCGGGGUACGACGAGCGGCGAACGGGUGAGUAACACGUGGGUGACCUGCCUCUAGCUCUGGGAUAAGCCUGGGAAACUGGGUCUAAUACCGGAUAUGACUCCACGGCGCAUGUUGUGGGGUGGAAAGCCUUGUGUGGCUAGAGAUGGGCCCGCGGCCUAUCAGCUUGUUGGUGGGGUGAUGGCCUACCAAGGCGA
rnacentral:rRNA from 1 species